UCCGGUGUGGUGUAUCGGUUAUCAUUCCGCGUUUUCAAAUUGAACCGCUAACAAGCACCGCGGCGAGCGGGGUUCGACUCCCCGCACCGGAG